GAUGAAGAACGCAGCGAAAUGCGAUAAGUAAUGUGAAUUGCAGAAUUCAGUGAAUCAUCGAAUCUUUGAACGCACAUUGCGCCCAUUAGUAUUCUGGUGGGCAUGCCUGUUCGAGCGUCAUUUCAACCCUUAAGCCUAGCUUAGUGUUGGGAAUCUGCUGUAUUGCAGUUCCUCAAAUACAACGGCGGAUCUGUAACAUCCUCUGAGCGUAGUAAAUUUUUAUCUCGCUUUUGUUAGGUGUUGCAGCUCUCAGCCGCUAAACCCCCCAAUUUUUGUGGUUGACCUCGGAUCAGGUAGGAAUACCCACUGAACUUAAGCAUAUCAAUAAGCGGAGGA
rnacentral:misc_RNA from 1 species